rnacentral:lncRNA from 1 species
UUGAGGACCAACAAUGGUGGAUCUUUAAUUUUAAGUUGGAAUCUGAAUAUUAAUGAAUGUCUAAGCUCAAAAUAGGUCUAAUAAGAGGUUUUUAAUCUUAAACUAAAAGAUCAAACAUGUUUUAUGGAUCAAUUUUGAGAAAUUCGAAUUUGAUCAAGAACAUGGAUGAUUUUUUUGGAAAAUAAUGAAACGGAUUAAAUGAUGAAAUUAACACUUAGAAUACUUGUUAUUGGACUAGGAAUGAAGAUUAUUAGUGGUUUGAGGAGCUGAAAAGGGAGUUUAGUUGAGGAAUCUAUAUUUUAGGUUAGUUGUGCAACAUCAGUAAGGUAGUUUAGAGCAAUGAUUUAGAUUCGUAUACUUUAUCAAAUUUUGUGUUUCUUGAUGCUAUUGUUAGUUUGUAAUGCAUACUUUGUCUCUGUCCACAUCAAUAGGAGGAAUGUGCAAAUCAGGAUUGAAGCUCAAACUUGCUUAUUUAAGCACAUUUUUGCUUAAAGAGCUAAGUGUGGAGGUGUGUGAUAUUAAAGGCAAUUUGGUAAAUUGGCAUGAUUAUGUAUUAAAUUAAAGGUUUAGUUGGUGUUAUUAAUGACUUAAUUGCAUAUUGGAUGGUUGGAUUUGCAAAAAUAGGUUUUAUUUUGUAAAAGAGCAAAAUGGCAAUUGGUUUGGUAAGUUGUGCAUUAUACUUUUAGCAUGAUUAAAUUGUAUGGAAUAAAUUGAUAUUUGUAGAAUGAAUUGUUGAUUUAUUGAACAUUUGAUAAAUGUGUUCUAAUUGGUACAUGAAUAUUGAGAAAAUGAUAUUUGCUAUGCUUAAUUUUGUUGAUGUUAAAAUUGCUUAGCAACUUGCUUUUACUUGCAUUUUAACAAUCUAAAUUAAGUGAUUAAACAACAUAUUUUAUGCCUUGUAUGUAUGAUUAUAUUGGCAACAUUGCAUGGUGGAUUUAUUGGAUAUAGUUGGCAUGCCAUAGGAUAUGUGAGUACUAACCAUAUUUGUGAUAUUGUGAGCAUAUGUCUUUUGAUGGACUGAUUUGUUUAGAGUAGAUAAGGGAGUAUUGAACUUGAGUCUCCAUUCAUCGGGUUAUUUAUGGCACUAUAAGGGGGUGAGUGGCUUCGGCCCACUCAAUUCGAAGGACUGCAUUUGAUUUGUGAGAGUUUGGAGAUUCGUUUAUCCAAUGUAUGAUCACACGUUUACUUAUUUCCAUGGAUGUAUUAUGCCAAUAUAAUUGAUUGAUUGUGCCAAUAUAAUUGAAUGUUUAUGUGUUAAAAGAUGAUUUUACAUGCCAUGGAAAAAUUGCUUCUUAAUUCUUGAAAUAGCCAGUGAUGUUCUGGUGAAAUGUUAACAUGUCGUGACUGAAAAUUUAAUGCUUAAUUGCUUUGAUUUAUGCAUAAUUAGGUGCAAAUUACUUGAUGUUUUUACUAUCAUUCACUGAGCUUUUUAAGCUCACACCUUCACAUUUCAUGCAGAGAAAUUCUGGGUGUAAAGAGUCGAAAAGCUAGUGUAAGGGCAAUCCAAGAAUAAGGCUCGGUACUGGCUUAAGAAAUUUACUUUAGAGACUAUAUAGGGGUAUUGUGAUGCUUCUGGGACUAGUGUUAUUUUACUUGUAAUAGACAUUGUACAUUAAAUUUUGGAAUUUAAUUUUGGUGAUUUUAUAAUUACUUUAAUACAUGAUUUUAUGUCUAAUUGAUGUUUGAUUUAUGGUGUAUUGAUGAGUGUUCGUACAG